CAGUUCCCAACCAUGGCCAAAUGCAAUUGGCGGGUUCCUACAGGCGUUGCGCUUGUGUUCACCUUGUGCAGUGUCGCCGCUAGGGUAGCAUUCUUCACUAUGAAGAGCACUCAGAAGAUUGAGGUGCCGAGGUUCACGAUAGAUGAAAGUAAAAUGAAUCUGCAGCCGCCUUGGUAUCAACCGUUUCAGGAAGAACUUUUUGAGGGCAAGAUAGAAAGUGUAACAACAACAACGUACGAACCGAUCAAGUUAACAACCUACCUGGCUGCCACGUCGUCACAUCGACGCUCUGGUACGGACGCUGAACCAAAAGCCCAAUCUAGCUGGACAGAAAGGUUUAAGGCAAUUUUUUCAUGGGGUUAGCAAAAAUGAUAGCAUAAUAACCAGAGGACUAAUGUAAACUGGACUGUAACUUGGAUUUAUCGUCUAAAAUUGAUAAAAAGCCUCAAUAUUAUAUUGUGGCGCGUAUCCUAGCCCUGCUUGUAAUAUAUUAAAAAGCUGAGUUGCACCAUCUAACUUUAACGGUAACUGUAAUUUUGUAUUUAGUUUGACAGAUUUUUGACGUUUGUUAAAGUUAAAGUAAAAUUAUGUAAGCCUACUGUUUUAAACUGUUACCUACUAUUACUCACGUAAUGUAAACUUAGAUCGAUGGAUGUAUUUUCCCCAAUAAAUGUUAAUGUUUUGUAAUUUUCUGUGUGUUUAAUGUGUGUAAUCUUUAAUGUUCUUUUAAAAGAUUUGUACCUAUUUAAGUAGAGAUUGUAAUAAGCUUUUGCUAGAAGGUUCACCCGCGUGAAUAUGGUCUGUUAUAGAAUUCAAAGGCUAAGAAAUAAAGCAGAUGUUAAUUAUUAAA